rnacentral:rRNA from 1 species
UACGUAGGUGGCAAGCGUUAUCCGGAUUUAUUGGGCGUAAAGGGAACGCAGGCGGUCUUUUAAGUCUGAUGUGAAAGCCUUCGGCUUAACCGGAGUAGUGCAUUGGAAACUGGGAGACUUGAGUGCAGAAGAGGAGAGUGGAACUCCAUGUGUAACGGUGAAAUGCGUAGAUAUAUGGAAGAACACCAGUGGCGAAAGCGGCUCUCUGGUCUGUAACUGACGCUGAGGUUCGAAAGCGUGGGUAGCAAACAGG